AGAGUUUGAUCCUGGCUCAGGACGAACGCUGGCGGCGUGCUUAACACAUGCAAGUCGAGCGGUAAGGCCCUUUCGGGGGUACACGAGCGGCGAACGGGUGAGUAACACGUGGGUGACCUGCCCUCCACUCUGGGAUAAGCCCGGGAAACUGGGUCUAAUACCGGAUAGGACCACUGAUCGCAUGGUUGGUGGUGGAAAGUUUUUUCGGUGGGGGAUGGGCCCGCGGCCUAUCAGCUUGUUGGUGGGGUGAUGGCCUACCAAGGCGGUGACGGGUAGCCGGCCUGAGAGGGCGACCGGCCACACUGGGACUGAGACACGGCCCAGACUCCUACGGGAGGCAGCAGUGGGGAAUAUUGCGCAAUGGGCGGAAGCCUGACGCAGCGACGCCGCGUGGGGGAUGACGGCCUUCGGGUUGUAAACCUCUUUCGCCAGGGACGAAGAGCAAUUGACGGUACCUGGAGAAGAAGCACCGGCCAACUACGUGCCAGCAGCCGCGGUAACACGUAGGGUGCGAGCGUUGUCCGGAAUUAUUGGGCGUAAAGAGCUCGUAGGCGGUGUGUCGCGUCGGCCGUGAAAACUUGGGGCUUAACUCUGAGCGUGCGGUCGAUACGGGCAUCACUUGAGUUCGGCAGGGGAGACUGGAAUUCCUGGUGUAGCGGUGAAAUGCGCAGAUAUCAGGAGGAACACCGGUGGCGAAGGCGGGUCUCUGGGCAGUAACUGACGCUGAGGAGCGAAGGCGUGGGGAGCGAACAGGAUUAGAUACCCUGGUAGUCC
rnacentral:rRNA from 1 species